rnacentral:rRNA from 1 species
CCUACGGGAGGCAGCAGUGGGGAAUCUUGGACAAUGGGCGCAAGCCUGAUCCAGCCAUGCCGCGUGAGUGAUGAAGGCCUUAGGGUCGUAAAGCUCUUUCGCCAGAGAUGAUAAUGGCAGUAUCUGGUAAAGAAACCCCGGCUAACUCCGUGCCAGCAGCCGCGGUAAUACGGAGGGGGUUAGCGUUGUUCGGAAUUACUGGGCGUAAAGCGCGCGUAGGCGGAUUAGUAAGUUAGAGGUGAAAUCCCGGGGCUCAACCCCGGAACUGCCUUUAAUACUGCUAGUCUUGAGUUCGAGAGAGGUGAGUGGAAUUCCGAGUGUAGAGGUGAAAUUCGUAGAUAUUCGGAGGAACACCAGUGGCGAAGGCGGCUCACUGGCUCGAUACUGACGCUGAGGUGCGAAAGUGUGGGGAGCAAACAGGAUUAGAUACCCUGGUAGUCCACACCGUAAACGAUGAAUGCCAGUCGUCGGGUAGCAUGCUAUUCGGUGACACACCUAACGGAUUAAGCAUUCCGCCUGGGGAGUACGGUCGCAAGAUUAAAACUCAAAGGAAUUGACGGGG